GAAGGCCGCCGGGCAGUCGCGCGCUCUCCGAGCGUGAGGAAAGUCCGGGCUUCAUCGGGCAACGUGCAGGAUAACGUCCUGUCGGGGCAACUCGAAGGAAAGUGCCACAGAAACAAACCGCCUCUUUGAGGUAAGGGUGAAAUCGAGGAUGUAAGAUCCCUCGGCGUCCCACGGAGACGUGGGCGCGGGUAAACCCCACGUGAAGCAAGAUCGCUCGAAUCGAUUCUUCGGAAUCCGGACGGCCCGUCCGCACGAGCUACAUCGCACCGAGGCCGCGAGUGACCGCGGUCCCAGAUAGAUGGCUGCCGCCGCGCGAGCGGUACAGAAUCCGGCUUAUAGGCGACCUUCGCAU
rnacentral:RNase_P_RNA from 1 species